CAGCCGUAAACAAUGUGCGUUAGGUGUGUCGGUAACCACGUGUUACUGAUGCGCCGAAGAGAAAUCGUGAAACGCACCACCUGGAAGUACGGUCGCAAGGCUGAAACUUAAAGGAAUUGGCGGGGGAGCACCACAACAGGUGGAGCCUGCGGUUUAAUUUGGACUCAACGCCGGAGAUCUCACCGGAUAAGACAGACAUAUGAUAGUCGGGCUGAAGACUCUACUUGAUGAUCUGAGAGGUGGUGCAUGGCGGUCAGUGAC
rnacentral:rRNA from 1 species